GUGCCCACUUCAGCUGCACAUGUAUUAAAAUUGGAUAGGCACAGAAAAAAAUUAGCAUGGCUCCUACACAAGGAUGAUAAGCAAAUUCAUGAAGUUUUCAAAAAAAAA